UUUUGGUUUUUGUCCCACAUCGACAAGUAGAAGAGAACGUCUCCCAAGUCUGAUAAUAUAUAAAGGAAGCUGGGUCUCACUUUCAAAUCAUACCUUUCUCGGCCUUUUGGCUAAGAUCAAGUGUAGUAUCUGUUCUUAUCAGUUUAAUAUCUGAUAUGUGGGCCAUCGGCCCACACGAUAUUAACUCUAUUUUUAAAGGGAGAAAGCCCACUAAGAUAGCUUGCUAUCUGGGCUUUCGCGAGUCGCCCAUGCGUUGCACUACUGCACGGGCUUGGCUCAUCCCAUCAACAAAUAGUUAAAAUCAUUCAUAAUU
rnacentral:snRNA from 1 species